CCUGAUUCUAGGGCUGUCUGCCACUGGGGAAGGGUCCUUCCUUUUGGAGUAUUUGAUGAGCCCUGAUCCUUGGGAUGGUGCUUCCCAUCUGCUGCAUGGCUGUGAAUAACAGCGAUGGGGAGAGCCAGAGGAGUGCUUUGCUAGCUGGCUGAGCAG
rnacentral:lncRNA from 1 species